GACGAACGCUGGCGGCGUGCCUAAUACAUGCAAGUAGAACGCAGUUGCGAACGGGUGAGUAACGCGUAGGGAACUGCCUCAUAGCGGGGGUUAACUAUUGGAAACGAUAGCUAAUACCGCAUACUGUGCGAUGUACCUGCUGUGUAUUAGCUAGUUGGUGAGGUAAAGGCUCACCAAGGCGACGAUACAUAGCCGACCUGAGAGGGUGAGUGGCCAAACUGGGACUGGGACAAGGCCCAGACUCCUGCGGGAGGCAGCAGGAGGGGAUCUUCGGCAAUGGACGGAAGUCUGACCGAGCAACGCCGCGUGAGUGAAGAAGGUUUUCGGAUCGGAAAGCUCUGUUGUUAGGGAAGCGGUAACUAACGAGAAAGGGACGGCUAACUACGUGCCAGCAGCCGCGGUAAUUC
rnacentral:rRNA from 1 species